rnacentral:lncRNA from 1 species
CUUGUGCAUAUCUCCCCAAAGCAGGGAAUAUUCAAAGGAAACCCUCUCCAGGAGCCCUAAGAACAGGCUUAUGCAGACCCCACGGACCAGCCCUGACCCUCUGGAUGCUCACAGGAGCACACGGUUACAGGGGAUCACUGCAGACAGCCCACACUCCGUGCUCCAGCCCUCUCACCAAGCUUGCCACCUGCGGGGUUUCAUCCAGGAACCCACAGCCACCUCCUCCCGCUUGUUCUCUGCUCAUUUGCUUAACAGAUAACCAGGUGCUGUGAAGCUGAAAUUUGCAAACACACCAGCCUGAAGCACACCCAGCACUCUGCAGCCCUUGCUGCACCUCGGCCAAACCCCGGGCUCUGCUCACUAUGUGGGGACAGCCAGGUACCGAGCACAGGUCCGUGUGCCUUGUGCCAAUGCUGGCAGGCUGUGAGGAGGGACACCACGCAUGGGAUGUCUGUCUCCAUAGUGGUGUACACAACAGCUGCAGAGCUUGGAGGCUCUUUUACAGCCCAGAAUCACUCCAACCUCCCGAAAGGCAAACAGAGCGCACAGCUCCGUGCACAGCUCCCAGCUCACUGCAGCAGGAAACGCAUGCAGGCUUCCUCCACGCUGAGGUCUGAACUCCUGACAAAAGCGUGACUCUCUGCAAACGAGAAGGGAGCUAAAAUUAAAACUCGGACGUGGAACACGAGCAACACGAGAGGCAGCGGCAGGCAGCCCUGCGCCUGGCCGGGACGGGGCGUUUCCUGGCGAGCCGACUGCAACAGGUGGCCCUGCUCUGCAGAGACUGCACUUUCUGCUGGCAGCACUCCCCAUCACUCCGCCUCACGCUGUCGCCCAACGCCCAACGCAUGGGCAGUGCCUUGGAGUUAUCCUAAUUGCAAACCGGAGCGAAAUCACUCCGUGAGGCCGAAAAUCCCGAUGGGUGCAGGGGAUGGCCGUGUGCUGCCAUCCACGUGUAGCUGCUCCCAUGAGGCUGCUCCUUCACGCUGCACAGCUUAUUCACAUCCACACAAACCACCUGUCACUUUCCCUCCCACGGAAAUAUUCCUGCAAUAUCCGAGUUCCGCCACAUGGACUCUGAUAUCUGUUUCUUCGGGAAGCACUAAUUACACACCCGGCGACACGCUCUUCCUUUCCUCUCGUCCGCCUUCCCAGGAUAUAAAGCACUCCACUGUUUACGUAUUGCCGCGGCGUUACUAAAAUAUUUAACAACAUAAGCCUGAACACUGCCAAAUAUUUGGCGAGGAGCAGCCGCCUCCCCUUUCCUCGACGGCUGCACGGAGCGCAGCGAGCAGGGCGAGCCCAAGUCGCCCCACGGUGGUCUCCAGCGGGGACAGGAGAUCCGCCCGAGCAUCUUCCCAGCACGGGGGGCUGGUAACCAGGCAACGGUGGGAUGAGGAAAACCAUGGUACCCGGCGUUGCCAUGGCAGCCGCCAGGCCGGGGAUGCGGGCGGCCUCGAGGCGAGGGGCGCUGCCCCGGGCACCCACCGGACCGCGCCCCGACGGCACAACGGAUCCCGGGGAAUGGGAUGGGACGGUGCGGGUAGGAUGCUGGCACCGCUGGGCUGCCGGCACGCCCGCGUCUGCUCCGCUCCUGCUGUUGCUGCCCUGGAGAGCCAUUUCCCUGUGGCACAACACUUCGGCAGCGCUGUCAACGCUGGCGUGGUUCAUCCUCUAAUAACUCAAAUGCAUCUUGGAUAGAUAUCAGCCUCACGGACAGUAAUGGCACAUAUUCCACUUUGCAUUCAUUUCCCAGUUUCCAGUAAAAUAUAAAAGCAGCCUCGGCAUUUCAAGGCAAUUACAUAGAAGGGUCAGGAGAUAGAGGCCGACACAGAGGAGCUGGACAACGUCACGUCUUCUAAUGCAUUGGCAUAACGUGAUAAGGCUCUCCAUCACACCACGGUUAGUGAGGCAGGGACCAAGCAGCCAUAAUCAAGUUUGGGGCUCCUCUGGCCUUCUGCAGCCCUCAGCUGUUAUCCUUUGCACACAGUGAAAUAUUCGGAUGCCAUGACUAUGCCCGGGGGCUGCACUGAGGCUGCUGGGUAUCUGCAGAGGUGUUUGCAUCGGCUGAGGGAUGCAGGCAGGCUGCAGCUCCCACAGCAUUGGGCUUCUGUGCUUCCUCCUUCUUCGGGUUCCUUUAGCCUAGAAAUACUCCAAACGUUGUCCAAGGUGAGCACAAUUAAAAGUUGGCACCAUAGGCUUUCUGCUGCCUAAACUCGGGUGAGAUGAGAGCACACUGUGCACAUGAGCAGCACCUAUGGCUGCAGCGGCACGAGUGCUCACAGAGCAGGAGAGAGCCUGGGGGAGCAACGACUUCUUUGGGGCCGGCCAUUUUGUCAGCGGGGCAGGCUAUGCUGAUUUAUGGUAACGAAGGGGCAGGGCUGAGCUCCUCACGCUGUUGGAGUCAGCAGAGCAGUGCCAGCAGCUCCACAAGGACAUGACUUCAUCUCGGCAGACGACGCCUGGAGGGAGCAGCGAGCAGGAAGGAGCCGUUUGGUCUCCUGAACUUUCCCCUCUGACUGAAGAUCCUUCUUGGGCUUUUGGCCAUUUCUCCAUCUCACGCAGACAGCGCUCCGAGUGACGGCGCUGAUGCUUCGUCUGUGAUGCAACAUGGGUCGGGAGCCCAGGACAGACGUGGGAGCUGUGGGAAGGGGCAGCAGAGCAGCCGGGAGCCCUGCAUGCAGCUGGCCCUCGAUUUAACAGCAUACAAUGGGGCCUCAGUGCCACGCGUUCCCCGUGAGCUCAGACUUUCCUUGCCUGCAAAGCGCCGUCACUGAGCGGCACUGCCCCAAAAUGCAGCUCCCCCAGCAGCGCUCCCCGUGCUUUGCUGCCCGCAGCCCUGCAUGCUGUGUGUGUUUUCCCAGCAGCCCUGUGCUAAUUUUAGCUGUGCUGAGGCUCUGGGCAGGGAGCAGGCGUCCCGUCCCAGGAGCCCCAGAGCAAAGCAGUUUGCUGUAGUCUGAAAACUUAACCCCGGUUUGCUGGGGAUUGGGGCACGGCUGGAGCUGCCUGGCAGUGCUGGGGGAAAGGGAGGGUUCUGUCCACACCCCGAGCUCAGAGCGGAGCCAUCAGACCUCCCUGCUUGCUAACACCAAGCCUGAGAACAUUAGCAGACUCUUCUCAGGGCCACCAGAGAGCUGAGCAGCGACAAAGGGGAAGGUUGUGCAGAGCCACAUGGCUGCUUUUAACCCAGUAACAUCCUCUUUUGUCGGGCCUACGCCAUUCCUCGUGCUUGGGAGGAACCAAGGCGGCAGCAGGCUGUGUUAAAGCUGACAAAGCCCGUGUACAACAGCAGCUCUGUAUUGCCCAAGCUGAAGUUCAGCGCCGCUGCGCCAAGAGAUGAUGUUGCCAACCGUGGGAGGGAACCAAUCCGAAGCUACGGGAAAAACAUUUUUGAGGAGAAACAUCACCUCCGAAACCGUACAAACAAAUGCGUUUUGACACAGCUAAACAGAGAGCUAUAAAAGGAGAGUUUGGGAGAAACACCACUAAUUGGGUGGUGAUUCAUAUGGUGCCGGUCAGACUGCGUUUUUGUAAUCUCCAUUCCUGGGGGAUGAUUUUCAAAGCGCAGAGGAAUGUGGAAGCAGCCCGGCCAGAUGUGGGCUGGAAGACAGAGAGGAGCAAACAGCGCCGAGAGCACAGGGGCAGCAGCAGCAGCAGAGCUGGGGGCCCCCAUCGAAACAGCAAAAUGAAUGGGAUCGUCCCAAAGCUGGGCACGAGAUGCUUCACCUGCUGCCCCGUGCCGGCUGGGGGCGAUGGGAGCGGGUCUGCUUUGCUCAGGUGUCCCAAUGCUGGAGGUGAGGCUGUGCCCGCGGCAUCUGCUGCAUCUGUGCUGUGUUUUCGCUGGGAAGAGCAGAGCAUAAAAGCCACGGCCAGGCAGCUGCAUGAGGAACGAAUCGCUUUUAAUCUGGUUAGAAA